AAUAUUGGACAAUGGAGAAAACUCUGAUGCAGCGACGCCGCGUGAAUGACGAAGGAUUUCGGGUCGUAACAUUCUUUCCUUGGGGACGAUAAUGACGGUACCCAAGGAGGAAGCCCCGGCUAACUACGUGCCAGCAGCCGCGGUAAUACGUAGGGGGCGAGCGUUGUCCGGAAUUACUGGGCGUAAAGGGUGCGUAGGCGGCCCUUUAAGUCAGAUGUGAAAGGCCACGGCUUAACCGUGGGAUUGCAUUUGAAACUGGAGGGCUUGGGUGUCGGAGAGGGUGGUGGAAUUCCCAGUGUAGCGGUGAAAUGCGUAGAUAUUGGGAGGAACACCAGUGGCGAAGGCGACUACCUGGACGAUAACUGACGCUGAGGCACGAAAGCUAGGGGAGCAAAC
rnacentral:rRNA from 1 species